rnacentral:rRNA from 1 species
CUAACAAGGAUUCCCCUAGUAACUGCGAGUGAAGAGGGAAAAGCUCAAAUUUAAAAUCUGGCAGUCUUUUGAUUGUCCGAGUUGUAAUCUAGAGAAGCAUUAUCCGUGCUGGACCCAUGUAUAAGUCUCCUGGAAUGGAGUGUCAUAGAGGGUGAGAAUCCCGUCUUUGACAUGGACUUACCAGUGCUUUGUGAUGUGCUCUCAAAGAGUCGAGUUGUUUGGGAAUGCAGCUCUAAAUGGGUGGUAAAUUCCAUCUAAAGCUAAAUAUUGGCGAGAGACCGAUAGCGAACAAGUACCGUGAGGGAAAGAUGAAAAGAACUUUGGAAAGAGAGUUAAACAGUACGUGAAAUUGUUGAAAGGGAAACGCUUGAAGUCAGUCACAUUGACUAGGAAUCAACCUUGCUUACUUGCUUGGUGUAGUUUCUGGUUAAUGGGUCAGCAUCAAUUUUGAUCAAUGGAAAAAGAUUAAGGGAAUGUGGCAUCUUUGGAUGUGUUAUAGCCUUUGAUUGUAUACAUUGGUUGGAAUUGAGGAACUCAGCACUUGUUGUUUAGGAUGCUGGCAUAAUGGCUUUAAUCGA